CAUCUAAGUACCCCGAGGAAAAGAAAUCAACCGAGAUUCCCCCAGUAGCGGCGAGCGAACGGGGAGCAGCCCAGAGCCUGAAUCAGUGUGUGUGUUAGUGGAAGCGUCUGGAAAGGCGCGUGAUACAGGGUGACAGCCCCGUACACAAAAAUGCACAUGCUGUGAGCUCGAUGAGUAGGGCGGGACACGUGGUAUCCUGUCUGAAUAUGGGGGGACCAUCCUCCAAGGCUAAAUACUCCUGACUGACCGAUAGUGAACCAGUACCGUGAGGGAAAGGCGAAAAGAACCCCGGCGAGGGGAGUGAAAAAGAACCUGAAACCGUGUACGUACAAGCAGUGGGAGCACGCUUAGGCGUGUGACUGCGUACCUUUUGUAUAAUGGGUCAGCGACUUAUAUUCUGUAGCAAGGUUAACCGAAUAGGGGAGCCGAAGGGAAACCGAGUCUUAACUGGGCGUUAAGUUGCAGGGUAUAGACCCGAAACCCGGUGAUCUAGCCAUGGGCAGGUUGAAGGUUGGGUAACACUAACUGGAGGACCGAACCGACUAAUGUUGAAAAAUUAGCGGAUGACUUGUGGCUGGGGGUGAAAGGCCAAUCAAACCGGGAGAUAGCUGGUUCUCCCCGAAAGCUAUUUAGGUAGCGCCUCGUGAAUUCAUCUCCGGGGGUAGAGCACUGUUUCGGCAAGGGGGUCAUCCCGACUUACCAACCCGAUGCAAACUGCGAAUACCGGAGAAUGUUAUCACGGGAGACACACGGCGGGUGCUAACGUCCGUCGUGAAGAGGGAAACAACCCAGACCGCCAGCUAAGGUCCCAAAGUCAUGGUUAAGUGGGAAACGAUGUGGGAAGGCCCAGACAGCCAGGAUGUUGGCUUAGAAGCAGCCAUCAUUUAAAGAAAGCGUAAUAGCUCACUGGUCGAGUCGGCCUGCGCGGAAGAUGUAACGGGGCUAAACCAUGCACCGAAGCUGCGGCAGCGACGCUUAUGCGUUGUUGGGUAGGGGAGCGUUCUGUAAGCCUGUGAAGGUGUACUGUGAGGUAUGCUGGAGGUAUCAGAAGUGCGAAUGCUGACAUAAGUAACGAUAAAGCGGGUGAAAAGCCCGCUCGCCGGAAGACCAAGGGUUCCUGUCCAACGUUAAUCGGGGCAGGGUGAGUCGACCCCUAAGGCGAGGCCGAAAGGCGUAGUCGAUGGGAAACAGGUUAAUAUUCCUGUACUUGGUGUUACUGCGAAGGGGGGACGGAGAAGGCUAUGUUGGCCGGGCGACGGUUGUCCCGGUUUAAGCGUGUAGGCUGGUUUUCCAGGCAAAUCCGGAAAAUCAAGGCUGAGGCGUGAUGACGAGGCACUACGGUGCUGAAGCAACAAAUGCCCUGCUUCCAGGAAAAGCCUCUAAGCAUCAGGUAACAUCAAAUCGUACCCCAAACCGACACAGGUGGUCAGGUAGAGAAUACCAAGGCGCUUGAGAGAACUCGGGUGAAGGAACUAGGCAAAAUGGUGCCGUAACUUCGGGAGAAGGCACGCUGAUAUGUAGGUGAAGUCCCUCGCGGAUGGAGCUGAAAUCAGUCGAAGAUACCAGCUGGCUGCAACUGUUUAUUAAAAACACAGCACUGUGCAAACACGAAAGUGGACGUAUACGGUGUGACGCCUGCCCGGUGCCGGAAGGUUAAUUGAUGGGGUUAGCGCAAGCGAAGCUCUUGAUCGAAGCCCCGGUAAACGGCGGCCGUAACUAUAACGGUCCUAAGGUAGCGAAAUUCCUUGUCGGGUAAGUUCCGACCUGCACGAAUGGCGUAAUGAUGGCCAGGCUGUCUCCACCCGAGACUCAGUGAAAUUGAACUCGCUGUGAAGAUGCAGUGUACCCGCGGCAAGACGGAAAGACCCCGUGAACCUUUACUAUAGCUUGACACUGAACAUUGAGCCUUGAUGUGUAGGAUAGGUGGGAGGCUUUGAAGUGUGGACGCCAGUCUGCAUGGAGCCGACCUUGAAAUACCACCCUUUAAUGUUUGAUGUUCUAACGUGGACCCGUAAUCCGGGUUGCGGACAGUGUCUGGUGGGUAGUUUGACUGGGGCGGUCUCCUCCUAAAGAGUAACGGAGGAGCACGAAGGUUGGCUAAUCCUGGUCGGACAUCAGGAGGUUAGUGCAAUGGCAUAAGCCAGCUUGACUGCGAGCGUGACGGCGCGAGCAGGUGCGAAAGCAGGUCAUAGUGAUCCGGUGGUUCUGAAUGGAAGGGCCAUCGCUCAACGGAUAAAAGGUACUCCGGGGAUAACAGGCUGAUACCGCCCAAGAGUUCAUAUCGACGGCGGUGUUUGGCACCUCGAUGUCGGCUCAUCACAUCCUGGGGCUGAAGUAGGUCCCAAGGGUAUGGCUGUUCGCCAUUUAAAGUGGUACGCGAGCUGGGUUUAGAACGUCGUGAGACAGUUCGGUCCCUAUCUGCCGUGGGCGCUGGAGAACUGAGGGGGGCUGCUCCUAGUACGAGAGGACCGGAGUGGACGCAUCACUGGUGUUCGGGUUGUCAUGCCAAUGGCACUGCCCGGUAGCUAAAUGCGGAAGAGAUAAGUGCUGAAAGCAUCUAAGCA
rnacentral:rRNA from 1 species